rnacentral:rRNA from 1 species
AUUUAACGCUGGCGGUAGGCCUAACACAUGCAAGUCGAACGGCAGCACAGUAAGAGCUUGCUCUUACGGGUGGCGAGUGGCGGACGGGUGAGGAAUACAUCGGAAUCUACUUUUUCGUGGGGGAUAACGUAGGGAAACUUACGCUAAUACCGCAUACGACCUACGGGUGAAAGCAGGGGAUCUUCGGACCUUGCGCGAUUGAAUGAGCCGAUGUCGGAUUAGCUAGUUGGCGGGGUAAAGGCCCACCAAGGCGACGAUCCGUAGCUGGUCUGAGAGGAUGAUCAGCCACACUGGAACUGAGACACGGUCCAGACUCCUACGGGAGGCAGCAGUGGGGAAUAUUGGACAAUGGGCGCAAGCCUGAUCCAGCCAUACCGCGUGGGUGAAGAAGGCCUUCGGGUUGUAAAGCCCUUUUGUUGGGAAAGAAAAGCAGCAGGUUAAUACCCCGCUGUUCUGACGGUACCCAAAGAAUAAGCACCGGCUAACUUCGUG